rnacentral:rRNA from 1 species
CCUACGGGGGGCAGCAGUGGGGAAUAUUGCACAAUGGGGGAAACCCUGAUGCAGCGACGCCGCGUGAGUGAAGAAGCGUUUCGGCGCGUAAAGCUCUGUCAGCGGGGAAGAAACACGGUUCGCGAGAGCCGCGGACGGUACCCGACCAAGAAGCCCCGGCUAACUACGUGCCAGCAGCCGCGGUAAUACGUAGGGGGCAAGCGUUAUCCGGAUUCACUGGGUGUAAAGGGAGCGUAGACGGCGAGACAAGUCUGAGGGGAAAGGCCGGGGCCCAACCCCGGGACUGCUCUGAAAACGGCCUGGCUGGGGGAGAGAAGGGGUAAGGGGAAUUCGUGGUGUAGGGGUGAAAUGCGUAGAUAUUAGGGGGAACACCGGUGGCGAAGGCGGCUUACGGGACGGUAACUGACGUUGGGGCUCGAAAGCGUGGGGAGCAAACAGGAUUAGAUACCCUUGUGUC